rnacentral:rRNA from 1 species
UACGAAGGGGGCUAGCGUUGUUCGGAAUUACUGGGCGUAAAGCGCGCGCAGGCGGUCUUCCAAGUCAGUGGUGAAAGCCCGGAGCUCAACUCCAGAACUGCCUUUGAUACUGAGGAUCUUGAGUUCGGGAGAGGUGAGUGGAACUGCGAGUGUAGAGGUGAAAUUCGUAGAUAUUCGGAAGAACACCAGUGGCGAAGGCGACUCACUAGCCCGAUACUGACGCUGAGGCGCGAAAGCGUGGGGAGCAAACAGG